ensembl:lncRNA
CUCUUGAUUAGCUGUGUGACGUUUCACAGGUUGCCUAACCCCUCUGAGGUUUGGGUUUCACAGCCAUUAAAUGGGUUGAAUACCCAGGAACCUGAUUACCUUGAGGUGGUCAUGGGGUCAGGCCUGCAGCUCCAGCCUUGGAGGUGUUCUGUUUGGGCAGCCAUCAGGGGAAACUACUUGAGGAGGAGCCAGUGCCUUGGGAUUAAGAAGAUGGUGCUCCUCCCUCAGGGUAAUAGGAGGGGGAGUUCUUAAAUGUCCUGGAGUAUCCAGGUCUGGAGAGAAGACGACAUGACCUGAAACUCAGCAGGUGGUGGUGAGCUUCAGACUGCUGAGGCUGUGGCAGAGGCAGUGUGCAGUUCUCUGCCCCAUCCUUUGAAAUACCAGGAGCGCAGCUGACACAGGCUGAAAGGGAAACUUAGUUGUGAUACAGCCAAGAGCCUGUCAGCUUCUGUAGGGGGUUCUCCUUACCCUGAGUGUAUAGAGAGGUGAUGACCACUGGUGGGAGCUGAGAAACCAUAUAGCCGCCUGCAACAAGUAAAUGUUGAUAUUUGCAUUGGAGAUAUGGGGAGUUAACACUCUCCACGGGAGAUUUGUUCUUUUGCUUACAGUUUCUUACUUAGGUAACUGAGAAGUGAAGCUUUUGAAAAAUCAAAAAAGAAAUUUAACUUAUUAUGUGGGGUAGGGACAAAGGAAAGUCACCAAGUUCAGGAAUGGCGUAACCCAGCCUUGCUGUAAGAGGGUGACAUCUGUGCCUGACCAUAGGCUGACACUGGUGACCAGGGCCAUCUGGGGCAGAGCUGUGAACCCAAGGAAGCAGGUGUCUGCAGCACGGCAGCCAACACUUCUGGAGCACAUGGCUCUGCAGUGAAGGAUUCUGGAGCCCCCAUUCAUCUGAAGGGGAUCCGAGGAGGUUCUGUCUUGUUGCAUGUGAUUGAGAAGCUCAGAGUAGAUGUAGGUGCUGAGCUGGAGGAGGUUCUGUGGGCUUUGGGCACUCUGUCAAAUCAUACACAGCUUCUGCAAGUCCACAGCGGGGCCGAUUCUCCAACCUGGUUGAAACUCCAGGACAAGUUCAAGCAGAGCAUCCAUGUACCCAGCAUGUCAUCCCUGAGGAUUGAGAACCUGGCCCUUGAGGACAGUGGGCAGUACUUUGCCCUCAUCUCUAGUGGGGGAGAUGGGAUUGUGUAGAUUUUCUACCUCACUGUCUAUGGUGAGUGACACCCCUCCCCCAUGCUCUGGCUUACCUGCUUUCUUUGUCCCUAGAGUGUCACAUAGGCCCCACACAGGGUUGCAUUCAGGCACUGGCCUUCAGACUCCAUUUUCUCCGCUAAAAAUAAAGCUUGUGAGGUCCCCAGAGAUAGAGCAGAGCUGAGAUUCACACCAGGGAAUGAAGUUCUUUCAGUGUUUUGGGAGAGGAAAUGGAAAUUCUGAAAAAUAGCAAUUUUUUCAAUAACAUUAAUCAUCCUAUAUAUGAUUAAUGUCACUUAAUUUGUAUAGUAAUUUUUUAUUGCUGAUGUAACAAAUUGUCAAAAAUUGUUGGCUGAAAGCAAGACAAAUUUAUUAUCUCAUUGUGCUGUAGGCCAGAGGCCUGACACAAGUCUCCGGGAGCUAAAAUGAAGGUGGUUUCAAGCUGUGUUCUUUCUGGGGACUCCAGGGGAGAACUUGUUUUUUCACCUGCUAGUGGCUGCUGGCAUCCCAUGGUUCAUGGCCAUCUUCCUGUAUCUCCUAAUCGAACACUGAUGUUAGUGUCUGGGAAUGAAUAGUCAGCUGAUUAGCAACCUUAAUUCCAUCUUAAUUUCAUCAACCUUAAUUCCUCUUCUCUUGCUGUCUAACCUAUUCCUAGGUUACCAGGAUAGGUCUUGGACAUUUUGGAGGCCACCGUUCUGCCUACCAUAGUUGGGAAUCCCUGUGAAUGGAGUCCUCCCAGUCCUCUCUGCUCUCACUCAGCCCCAGCCCAAAGCCAGCUUCAGUCACGCAAGCCACCACAAAUCUAGCUCUCAAAGCCUCCACAGGUGUAGGAGAAAGUUUACACCACAACACUUCUUAGGGAACCCAUUUACCAACUCUUUCUUUCCCUAAAGUUCCUCUCUGCAGAGGGAAAUAUCCUGCCAUGGAGAGAGUGGGUUUUACAGCUUUAGGUCCCACGUGAUUUCUCAGGCUGGCCUGUGAAUUGGAUUCUUCUCUUCUGUCUGCACCACAGGUUCCAGUGGCACUUUCUAAGCACAGUAAGAGUCAUUGUUCCCAGUCACUAUCACCUCAUCUCCCACAGACGUGUCUACUUUAGGGAUCAUGGGCCUUUCUCUGGCCUCCCGGAGCUGACCUGACGUACUGCCCCACAAGGGCUAUGCAGUCUCAGGCAUGGCCUAAGCUGGAGACACACAGGAGGGACUCUGGGCCAGCACAAGCUUUUCUUCCCCAGACUUCUUCCCCUUCUUGGAAAGACCCUGAUAUUCUGAAAACACUGCAUCACAUGUCCAGAUUUUAUUUUCUUUGGGACAGUUUUAAGACAUGUUGAAUCAGGGAACCCACAUGGAGUUGAACUCAGUGGCUUCCUUUCUUAUUUCAUUUGCUCCAUAUUUAGCUUUGGGCAAAUUGUGUUUCAUCUGUAGAAUACACUCACUUUCCUUAUAUGGCGCAUGCCAAGGCUGCAACGAGAAAAUUAUGAGAAAGUUAGACAUGCAAUGUUCUCCACAUAUGUGAGAUUCCCCUCUUUUGUCCCCUUCUGCCCCAGAGCCUGUGCCUCACCCUGAGAUCCUGGCAAAGUCACAGUCUAUCACACCAGACCUGUGUAACAUCACCCUGGAGUGUAGGGCUCCAGGGACCACAGAGUACCUGAAUGUGACUUGGGAGAGCAAGGGCCUCCUCAGAGAGCUGCAGAGAGAAACACCAGGACCAGCCUCCAACCCCUGGACACUGGCUGUGAACCUGCCCCUGUGCCAGUGCAACACCCACCUCACCUGUGUGGUCAGCAACCAGGCAGAUCAGAAAGCUGCAAUCUUAGACUUUAGAAAAGUCUGUGUCCAAGGUGAGUGGUGAGUGUAGCCUGCAGGAUAGGAGGGGCUGCCCAAUCUCAGGUAGCACUGGGGUCUGAGGGU